rnacentral:rRNA from 1 species
AGAGUUUGAUCAUGGGCUCAGGAUGAACGCUGGCGGCGUGCCUAACACAUGCAAGUUGAGCGAUUUACUUCGGUAAAGAGCGGCGGACGGGUGAGUAACGCGUGGGUAACCUGCCCUGUACACACGGAUAACAUACCGAAAGGUAUGCUAAUACGAGAUAAUAUGCUUUUAUCACAUGGUAGAAGCAUCAAAGCUUUUGCGGUACAGGAUGGACCCGCGUCUGAUUAGCUAGUUGGUAAGGUAACGGCUUACCAAGGCGACGAUCAGUAGCCGACCUGAGAGGGUGAUCGGCCACAUUGGAACUGAGACACGGUCCAAACUCCUACGGGAGGCAGCAGUGGGGAAUAUUGCACAAUGGGCGAAAGCCUGAUGCAGCAACGCCGCGUGAGCGAUGAAGGCCUUCGGGUCGUAAAGCUCUGUCCUCAAGGAAGAUAAUGACGGUACUUGAGGAGGAAGCCCCGGCUAACUACGUG